GUUGCACAACGUACGAGAUACAAGGUACAAAGAAAAAGAGAAUCAAAGGAAUCAAAAAAUGGAACGAUCGACUUCCUCAGCCGUGAAACAAGUCUCCGGAGCACGCGUUGCGUGAUCGUUAUCAGAACGAAAGACAAUGAGAAUCCUCUCCUCCGGGGUAAAAAGGAUCUUCAUAAGGUCACAGGCCAAAUGAUCCAUCGGUCGAGAGGAUGCCCACGUUGAGAUUAUCUCCGGACUCGGCAGAAGAUCGGCGUAAGGUAGUUGCUGAUACGCGUAUAGCAGUGGCUUCACGUCCGAGAAUCCAGUUAGGCCGGAUAACCCAGAUAAACCGGAAAUGUCUUCAGCAGGGCUGUUCCCAGACCCUGCCACACACAUCAGAGCACAGCCUGCUUUAGACACGGAUCCCCCUGACGCGUGAAUUGCAGCGUACCGAACAAUCAAGCAAAUUCGACCAGGUUCGUUAAUGUCGCGUUAAACGAUCGAUCGCGUAUCAUUCCAUUUGUCUUCUCCGUCACGCAUACACAGAUAGUUUUACGCGUAAACGUAGAACAAGAUCUAGAUGACGUUUUUGAGUACUAGAAGCCAGGACUUUUCGUAAUAAACUACGUAAAUAUACUAAUAAACGAGACCAUUCAAUUAUUUCUUUCUCCUCUCUUUCGUUUAGUCACCUGUUGAAAUAGAUAACUUGACGUUAUCUACGCCUUGACCUCUAGUUUCUCCGAUCGUACAAUUUUUAUUUACGCAUAUGUGUAUUUAUUUACUAUCUACACACGUUCCCAUUUCCACUAUGAGUUUGCUUGUAACAUCGAACGAAAUAAAAAGAAAUGAAAGAAAUACGUGUCACACCAAUGUGGAUAAUAAAGCAGAAGUGACGAUCAAAGCUAACUCAACGAUUUGAAAAAGCAUCGAAAACGAGUAUGCACCUAAUUUGAAUGAGAUACUCGAACAUACACAAUAUGAAAUUUUUAUCAAUCAAAUUAUAAAUUCUAUCAUACACCCUAACAUACAUUUUCCAAUAUUAACCAUAAUGAAUCGAUUUAUGAACUGAAUUUUACCAACACGUACGCAUUGAAAUGUAUACAUUGCCCUAUUCUUCUCUAAUUUAUAAAAUUUGUACACAUAUCAUACAGUUUACCAUGAAAUAUGAGAUUGAAUGCAAUUAUAAAAUACACAGACAUAUAUAAUAUCAAAAUAUACACAAAUUGUGCAAGAUAAAUAUAAUAUAUUCUUAAAAUAACAUGCAUAUGAUUAUGUCUUCUACUAUUGUCUAUAAAGCGAUAUCGUAAUUUCA